UGGGCCUGUAGGAGGUUCACAAAGGUGAGA
rnacentral:piRNA from 1 species